UAGAGCAAAGAACCAAAACAAAUUUUCUGUCAUCCAGCCUCACAGCUGAAGAGAAAAGUGGAAGAUUGAAAUAAGCAUCUUGACCACAGGUGAUUGUCAGCAGUCACAGAAGCUCCACAAAUUACAGAGAACAUUCUGCUGUGUGGAAUGGAGGUCUUCUCCAUGUUGGAUAACAUUUCCUGCACUGUGCCUGUACUGGACUGCAAAAGAAGGAAAGUCUUCAGGGCACUUUACAGUCUCUUACAAGCUAAAAUCAGACAGGUGAGAGCAUGGGAUUUAUGGGGUUGUGCUUGUACAAGCAGAGUGUUCUCCCCUCCUAUUCACCUCCAAGGCUCCAAAGAGAAUCAGCCUGCAGAAUGGAAAGGUAAGAAGAUAAUUAUUUUUGCAGAGGAGCACUAAGAAGGAAGGAGAGCUAGCUGUUUUCUGUUUUAUCUUAAAAGUCUUGCCUUAGAACAUUUCUCUGUUGACACUCCAUGUGCAUGCAUGACCCUGAACAACAGAGUUGGAGGCAUAGAUAUUGCAAGGGAAAUUCAGAAGAGAAAGAAGACUUAGCCAAGAGGAAAUCUAAAAAGAACAAGGAUUGAAAAAGCAGCCAGGGGUAACUCUGAUGUACAAAAAUACAUUUAUUUUCAACAAUUUCAAAACCACUGCCUUUUUUUACAGUAGAAAUAUUCAAAUGGAACAAUAAAACCAAGAACAGUAUAUAUAUAUGUAUAUAUAUGACUCAUGCAGUUGUAUUACUGUGUUCAAUACAGGUAUUGCAAUUGUCUGUCUCAUUUAAUCCUUUGAAACCACAGUGGUGGUUUGGGUUUAAUGCACUGUCCAACAUCAUCAGAAAGAAUGUGAGGAUUCUGGUUUGGUUCAUUAGAGCUGGAAUAGGUGUGGGAGCUGAUUGAAGGGAAAGGGAGGAGAACAGGACACCAGGACAUCUUUGUACAUCUGUGAAACCAAAGUUUAGUCCAGAAGAAAUUGCACACUUCCUACACAUGCUCUCAUUGAUGGCAACUGUGUCUGAAACACUCUGUACCCCCCUGUCACUCUGGUCUCACCUCUGAUCCUGCCAGGUUUAGGGUUAGGGCUCUUGAGUACUGGUUAAACUAAACAAAGGUUCAUGGUUUAUAUCAGACUGUCAGCCACACAGAACCAGAAGCUGCAUCUAGUCUCCAGACCUCAUGCAUUAUUCCUAAAUUACAGCUAAUCCAUCAUGGGGGAAAGGCUGGCAGUGAUAGAGGGCACUGACCCAGUCCCUUGCUCUCUGCCUCUCUCUCUUUCAUUUCCUCUUUUUACAUAAUUACAUUGUAGGAGCUAUUUAUGUUCCAUUGAUGUCAUUGCCUAUUUCCCUCAUUACUCAGGUAAAUAAUAAUCUACAGCUUCAAGGAUUUCCACUACAUUUCCCUCAGGGGUAAAACCUGCAGGGAAAAAAAAGCCCUGAUGAAAACCCCAAGUUGUUAUUUCCCAGCAAGCCAAAUAAAAGUGGCCAAUACUCCAGCCUGUGCUGACACUGCAGCUCAGUACUUCCAAAAUGGUGAAGAGGGCUGGCUGCCCAGUCCAAGCCUUACACAGGUCCCAUGGACAGGCAGGAAUGCAGCAAUGACCCUUCUUGGAUUCUAAAGGAGCAGAUUUCAGUGGUGAACCCAAGCUUUCUCCAGCUGCCAUCGGCCGUGACUGUGCCCUAAAGGGGCAGGAGUGACCUGGCAAAUGUGGUGCCAUGCACACCCUGGGGAUGCACCUGGAGCCCACAGCCUGGUGCUGACAGGUGUGACAAACUGCACUGGGAGGCUGUGACACCCACCAAGUCCUGUGGAGAAGGAAGUUUGAGCAAACAUAAGAAUCAGUCAGGCUUUUCUGACAUACAGUUUUGGCUUCAUGGAUUUUUUGUGUUUGCUUUGUAGGAUACUUUAGGAUCAUUUUGGAUGGAAAAUGUCUUUCUAGACAGAUGUUUCUCCAAAACUGCCAUUCAGAAAUUUCUCAGCCUUCACUGAGAUUAAAUUUUUUUUUUGAGAAGUGAAUUUUUUUCCAUUUUUUCAACACCUUACUCCCAUUUUUUUCAACACCUUACUCCCAUUUUUUUCCUUCUUACUUUCUUCCAUUUGAGACAUUUAACAGCAAUUUUUUAAAAGUGUAAAGGAAUAAAAUGUAAAAAAAAAAAAA